AUAAUUGAAACACCAGUUUCUAUAUAAUCACCAAAGUUAAGCAACAUCGAGCCUGAUCAGUAUCUAAAUGGGUGACCGCUUGGGAAUACCAGGUGAUGUA